AGUCCCGAGAGAGCCGAAGGAAUAGAAGACUGAUGGCCACCCAAACUUAUGUAUCAGGAAUGGUGAAAAUGCGAGUCCUGUCACUGACCCAAGGCAUGGCAACCCCCUGUUGCAAGAAUUUAUAUGCUAAUGUUAUCAUAUCGAUGAUGCACCGGUAUGUGAAGAACAACAACCACAACUUUAUUUGACUUUCUUCUCCUAUUAAAUAUUUUGGCCCUUUCCCCAGCUGGCCCAUUCUCUAUGUUUAAAGCAACAUUUGAACCUAA